GCGCGGGUGGCGUAACCGGUAGCCGCGUCACCUUGAGGUGGUGAUGUCCGCAAGGACGUGGAGGUUCAACUCCUCUCCCGCGCACCA
rnacentral:tRNA from 3 species